GGGCGAUUGGCGCAGUGGUAGCGCGCUACCUUGACACGGUAGAGGUCACUGGUUCGAACCCAGUAUCGCCCACCA
rnacentral:tRNA from 1 species